rnacentral:rRNA from 1 species
UACGAACUGUGCAAACGUUCUUCGGAAUCCCUGGGCUUAAAGGGUGCGUAGGCGGCUCAUUAAGUAGGGUGUGAAAGCCCCCGGCUCAACCGGGGAAUUGCGCUCUAAACUGAUGGGCUGGAGUGAGAUAGGGGUGUGUGGAACUUCCGGUGGAGCGGUGAAAUGUGUUGAUAUCGGAAGGAACGCCGGUGGCGAAAGCGACACACUGGGUCUCAACUGACGCUGAGGCACGAAAGCCAGGGGAGCAAACGGG